CCAAUAGCGUAUAUUAAAGUUGUUGCAGUUAAAAAGCUCGUAGUUGAACUUCGGGGUUUACCCAUUGGUCAGGCUUAAUUGUCUGUACUGGUGAGAUAAAUCUCUACCUUCUGAGGAACUUUCAUGUCAUUAAUUUGGUGUGAUUGGAAAUCAGGACUGUUACUUUGAAAAAAUUAGAGUGUUUAAAGCAGGCUAACGUCUGAAUACAUUAGCAUGGAAUAAUGAAAUAGGACGGACUGAUUCUAUUUCGUUGGUUUCUAGGAUCACCGUAAUGAUUAAUAGGGAUAGUUGGGGGCAUUAGUAUUCAAUUGUCAGAGGUGAAAUUCUUGGAUUUAUUGAAGACUAACUACUGCGAAAGCAUUUGCCAAGGAUGUUUUCAUUAAUCAAGAACGAAAGUUAGGGGAUCGAAGACGAUCAGAUACCGUCGUAGUCUUAACCAUAAACUAUGCCGACUAGGGAUCGGACGAGGUUAAUUUUAUAAUGACGCGUUCGGCACCUUACG
rnacentral:rRNA from 1 species